AACUUUCAGCAACGGAUCUCUUGGCUCUCGCAUCGAUGAAGAACGCAGCGAAAUGCGAUAAGUAAUGUGAAUUGCAGAAUUCAGUGAAUCAUCGAAUCUUUGAACGCACCUUGCGCUCCUUGGUAUUCUGAGGAGCAUGCCUGUUUGAGUGUCAUG
rnacentral:rRNA from 1 species